GAUGAGGUGGCCAAAUGGUUAAGGUGGUGGAUUACUAAUCCAUUGUUCUCUGCAUGCAUGGGUUUGAAUCCCAUCCUUACCA